rnacentral:tRNA from 1 species
CGCGGGGUGGAGCAGCCUGGUAGCUCGUCGGGCUCAUAACCCGAAGGUCGUAGGUUCGAAUCCUACCCCCGCAACCA